GACAGAGGCCUCAAGCGUUAGGCGGAAUCACUGGCUUAAAGCGUGUGUAGGCGGAUCGUUAAGUGUCUUGUGAAAUCCCACGGCUCACCCGUGGAACUGCUGGGCAUACUGGCGAUCUUGGGCCAACUAGGGGCAACUGGAACAAGCGGUGGAGCGGUGAAAUGCGUAGAUAUCGCUUGGAACGCCAAAGGUGAAAACAGGUUGGCUGGGGUUGUGCCGACGCUGAGACACGAAAGCCAGGGGAGCAAACGGG
rnacentral:rRNA from 1 species